UAAAAAUUCAAGGACAAAAUAUGUGCAAUAGUAGUUUGCACAAUCUGGAUUUUUAUUUUACAUAAUACUAUUCUGUGUUACCUGAAGUUUAAGAACAACCACAUAUUAUAUAUCUUAUAACCCAAUACUUGAAAAAAAUUAAGGAGAUGACAUACAACACAGCAAUACUAGGUUUUAAGCUUUGCAGAUGAUUUCCUCUUGCUUGCUAGGGGUGAUGUUGAUUCUGUUAAGAAGUUGCAUGAUUGCUUCCUCCUUUUUUCUACUGCAUCUGGGUUACCAAGUAAUCUGUCAAAAAGUUCUGCUUAUUUUGGAGUAGAAGUCAAUUCCACAACUGAAAUCUUGCAGAUACUUGGCUAUUCUUAUGGAGAGCUUCUUUUUUAAUAAUUACGGAUCUCUUUAGAUACAAAGAAGUUAACCAUGAUACUAUGGAAGGAGGUCAGCUCUGCAAAGUAUGGUAUGGAGAAUAGCUGGAUGACAAAUGUGGUGACAAUACCAUAUGGUUGUAGUGUAUGGAGAACAAUCAGAAAUCUAUGGCCUUUAGUCAUAAACAGAUCCAGUUACAAAGUUGGCAAUGGCCUGAAAGUUUCCUUCUGGGAUGACAAGUGGAUUGGUCAUGAACCUCUAAAGCAACUCUAUCCAGAUCUAUACACAUUAUGCCUUCAACAACAAGCUACAGUUGCUGAAUUAUGGACAGGACAAGGUUGGAAUUUACACCUCAGAAGACAUUUAAAUGACUGGGAAAUGGAAAGAAUAGCUUGCCUUCUACUCCACAGUUGAUCAAUUCAAUAAUUUAACAGGAGAAAGAGAUACUAUGGUUUGGAAGAUAGACAACAAAGGUUUGUUCACUGUAAAUUCUGCUUACAGAGACCUGAACACAUCAAACAACCAGGAGGUAGGAUGGCCAUGGAAGAUGAUAUGGAAAACUAAAAUACCUUACAAGAUCAGUUAUGGAAGAUAUUCAUCAGUCUGAGGAAGAUCAGGUGGGUGAAACCAGGGAGCAUUAAAGGAGUUCUUAGCUGCUGGAACAGAGAUGGCAAUGCUGCAAGACAGGAAGAGAGAUGGAAAAUUGUCCCAGCAUGUAUUUGGUGGACAAUAUGGAAAGAAAGAAAUCAGAGAUGUUUUGAGGGCAAACAAAGCGACCUACAGAAGUUUAAAAUGAAUUGUUUAGCUCUAUACUAUUUUUGGUGUAAACAGGAAGUUUUAGGUCAAACUGAAGAUAUUUUUGAUGUUUUAGAUUACUUUUAAGGAAGAAUAUAGAUAGGAGAUCAAGCUGUAAGGUGUAACAUUUUGAAAGGGGGACUACAUUCUUUUUGAUGUAGUAUACCUGUGGAUAUAUAGUUAACUGUUACCAUUAUCAAAAAAAAAGAAGAA